rnacentral:rRNA from 1 species
GAUGAACGCUGGCGGCGUGCCUAAUACAUGCAAGUCGAGCGAACACACGAGGAGCUUUUUCCCUUGCCGUUAGCGGCGGACGGGUGGGUAACAAGUGGAUCAGCAACCUCUUUGACUUGGAUAAAUUCGGGGAACCGGAGCUAAUACCGGAUAAUAUAAUCUACGGGAUGGAUCAAGAGUUAAAGGCAGCUUUGCCGAUUCAUUUAGCUGGUUCCGCGCCGGCUUAGCUAGUUGGUAAGGUAACGGCUUACCAAGGCAACGUUGCGGAGCCGACCUGAUAGGGUGAUCGGCCACACUGGAACUGAGACACGGUCCAGACUCCUAAGGGAGGCAGCAGUAGGGAAUCUUCCGCAAUGGGCGAAAGCCUGACGGAGCAACGACGCGUGAGUGAUGAAGGUCUUCGGAUCGUAAAACUCUGUUAUUAGGGAAGAACAAAUGUGUAAGUAACUAUGCACGUCUUGACGGUACCUAAUCAGAAAGCCACGGCUAACUACGUG